ACAGCUCAGUAACACGUGGGUAACCUGCCCUAUGCUGGAUAAUAACCUCGGGAAACUGAGAAUAAUGAUCCAUAGUUCACUACGCCUGGAACGGUGAGUGGACGAAAGCCCCGGCGGCAUAGGAUGGGCCUGCGGCGUAUCAGGUUGUAGGGGGUGUAAUGUACCCUCUAGCCCUCUACGCGUACGGGUGUUGAGAGACAUCGCCCGGAGAUGGAUUCUGAGACACGAAUCCGGACCCUACGGGGUGCAGCAGGCGCGAAAACUUGGCAAUGCGAGAAAUCGUGACCAGGGAACUCCAAGUGCAUCGGGUAAGACCGAUGCUUUUCUAGACUCUAAAAAGGUCUUGGAAUAAGAGGUGGGUAAGGACGGUGCCAGCCGCCGCGGUAAUACCGGCGCCUCAAGUGGUAGUCGCUUUUAUUGGGCCUAAAACGUCCGUAGCCGGUCUGAUACAUUCGUGGGUAAAUCAACCAGCUUAACUGGUUGAAUUCUGCGAGGACGGUCAGACUUGGGACCGGGAGAGGUGUGGGGUACGCUCAGGGUAGGGGUAAAAUCCUGUCAUCCUGAGCGGACCACCUGUUGCGAAGGCGCCACACUAGAACGGAUCCGACGGUCAGGGACGAAGCCUAGGGGCACGAACCGGAUUAGAUACCCGGGUAGUCCUAGGUGUAAACGCUGUGGACUUGAUGUUGGGGGUGCUCCGAGCACUCUCAGUGUCGAAGCGAAGGUGAUAAGUCCACUGCCUGGGAAGUACGGUCGCAAGGCUGAAACUUAAUGGAAUUGGCGGGGGAGCACCGCAACCUGAGGAUUGUGCGGUUUAAUUGGAAUCAACGCCGGU
rnacentral:rRNA from 1 species